AUGGCUCUUGAAGCAGCGUUCCACUACCUGCAGCUCGCCGGCAUCCAUGGCACAUCCACGCCGGCAGUACUACUCACCAUUCUCCUGCUACUCAUCAUUCGACUAGCAUGGGUGAGGACCACAACUGCGUCAACAAGAUUCGGUAAGCAGCAACAGCUCCCGCCUUCACCCCCAGGCAAGCUGCCCAUCAUCGGCCACCUCCACCUCCUCGGCUCCCAGACACACAUAUCCAUCCGGGACCUCGAUGCCAAGCAUGGCCGCAAUGGCCUCUUGCUCCUCCGCAUCGGUGCCGUACCCACCUUAUUCGUGUCCUCGCCGAGUGCCGCCGAGGCUGUCCUGCGUACCCACGACCAAAUCUUUGCGUCGCGGCCACCAUCCAUGGCCGCUGACAUCAUUCGCUACGGCCCCACAGACAUCGCAUUUGCACCCUAUGGUGAGUACUGGCGGCAGGCCAGGAAGCUCUUAACCACACAUAUGCUCAGCGCCAAGGUGGUGCACUCCUUCCGCCAUGGUCGUCAAGAAGAGGUGCGCCUCGUUAUCAACAAGAUCCAUGAGGCGGCCACCAGAGGCACGGCGGUGGACAUGAGCGAGCUCCUGUCCGGCUACACCAACGACGUCGUAUGCCGUGCAGUCCUCGGAGAAUCCCACCGCAAGGAAGGCCGGAACAGGCUUUUCAGCGAGCUCACAGAGAUCAACGUCUCCCUUCUUGGCGGGUUCAGCCUCGAGAAUUACAUCCCCCCAAACAUGGUAAUGGCGGAUGUGCUCUUGAGGCUGGUUUCCGUCAAGGCUCGGCGGCUCAACAAGAGGUGGGACGAAUUGUUCAACGAGAUCAUUGAAGAACACCUACACCCCAGCAAACCAUCAUCUGGCGAGCAGCAAGCGGUAGAUUUCAUAGAUCUUCUGCUCUCUCUCAAGGAAGAGUACGGUCUCACUACAGAUAACAUCAAGGCCAUCUUGGUGGACAUGUUUGAGGCAGGCAUAGAAACAUCUUAUCUGACGUUGGAGUACGGCAUGGCUGAGCUCAUGAACAACAGACACAUUCUGAAAAAAUUACAGGAGGAGGUAAGAUCCCAAGGCAAAAAGUUAGACAUGAUAACGGAGGAGGACCUUGGCAGCAUGGCCUACCUAAGGGCAACCAUCAAGGAGACGCUGCGCUUGCACCCACCAGCGCCCUUCCUCCUCCCACACUUCUCCACCGCUGACUGCAAGAUCGACGGAUACUUGAUACCCUCCAACACACGCGUCCUUGUGAAUGCUUGGGCCCUUGGGAGGGAUCCAUCGUCUUGGGAGAGGCCAGAGGAUUUCUUGCCUGAGAGGUUUCUACAAGAUCAAGAUGGUGAUGUUGACACCCAAAUGAGGGGUAAGGAUCUUAGGUUCCUGCCAUUUGGGUUCGGGCGGAGGAUUUGUCCAGGGAUGAAUUUCGGGUUCGCCACCAUGGAGGUUAUGUUAGCAAAUCUCAUGUACCAUUUUGAUUGGGAUGUUCCGAAUAUGGUGGGUACCGGCGCAGGGGUUGAUAUGGCCGAGUCGUUCGGGUUAACGCUUCGCCGAAAGGAGAAGCUUCAACUUGUUCCUCGGAUUCCCUAA
rnacentral:rRNA from 1 species